GAGCAUAGCUCAGCUGGUUAGAGCACCUGCCUUACAAGCAGGGGGUCACUGGUUCGAGUCCAGU
rnacentral:tRNA from 1 species